CAGCCACAUGCAAGGCAAACACCCUAGCACUCCCCUUGACAAGGAUGGAAGAGGCUUCGGCCUGCAACACGCAUACAGUUAAGGCACUGCCACCUACUUUGUGGCAUCUAACCAAAUAAAAUGUUUUU